UACAGAGGGUGCAAGCGUUGUUCGGAAUUAUUGGGCGUAAAGGGCGCGUAGGCGGUUCGGCAAGUCUUCAGUGAAAUCUCUGGGCUCAACUCAGAGUCUGCUGGGGAAACUGCCGGGCUUGAGUGUGGGAGAGGAGAGUGGAAUUCCUGGUGUAGCGGUGAAAUGCGCAGAUAUCAGGAGGAACACCUAUUGCGAAGGCAGCUCGCUGGGACGUUACUGACGCUGAGACGCGAAAGCGUGGGGAGCAAACAGG
rnacentral:rRNA from 1 species